CUUCCAGUUGUAGGAUUCAGCUUGUUCCAUGAUGUGUACGUGUCCUACCACAGCAUCGGGUUCUGAAAAGGCUUAUACAGAAAACACAUCUUGGAAUAACACAAGGAAGAAGCUGAUGUCCCACUGCUACCUGUAGUGCCUCUUAAAAGAGAAUGAUCUGUAUGCAAACUGUUGGAGGAACCAUGAAGUGCUUUGGCAUCACCCAAAGCAUGCAGCGACCAGCUGGGCAUGUGUAACUGUGAGAACUGCCCCAGGGCUCUUGCUCUUCCUCACUUCCUCAGCCUAAGGCUGCAGAGUGCUCAUCUGCCAUCAUUACCAAAGAACUAAGACAGAAGAUGUGUUUUCUUUAGGAUUUCCUGGGUUUCUGGGUUUCCUGGGUUAGGAUUUCCUCUGUUUCAAAAAUCAGCUGCUACUUGGAACAGGCUGGGAAGGGACCUGCAGGCUACCUGUGGCCCUCAUGGAACCCUACAAGGAAAACCAUCACAUUUAUCACUGAGGCAUGAGACAUUCAUUUCAGUAGCAGUUAACGCCAGCAAGUUGAAGACUCUGUUGUACCAUGCACUGUAAAAAAUCUUCUUCAGUGAGUUUAUAAUGGAUCUUGCAGCCCAAUUUGAAGACAAGCAGUAAUUUGUAGCCAGGGAACAAACAGCCAUAGCUGUUGAGAGUACGCAUCCUCUUACUCUGAAGCACUGUUCCACUAACUCAUGCGGCAUGCACCACUUUAUUACAGCACAGACAAAUUCUGGGAUCAAAGCUCAGCUGGCGUCUGUCUUCUAAAUAUCCUUCCUUUUUCAUCAGUGUGCUGAAGCAAGUGUGAAAAUACAAGUAUGAAAGAACUAACAGUACACUGUCAAGUGUUUUGUAGUUUGUUCUGUUAUACAAUACUCUAAGAUGAAAAUUUAGUUCACAAAGUAUCUGUGUAGCUGAUUGAAAUAUGUUGUUUUCUUAUUUGAUUUCUCUGUAGCAUCACACACAAGAAAAUCUUACAGUGAAAAAAAAAUCUAGCCUUUCUUGUGCGUAAGGAAUCUUUCCAAAAGUGAAAACUAAGUAUUAAAGAAACGUACAUCUCUUGUUUUUCCUCUUUGAUCAUUUGUUGAGUGAAUACUUGAGUAGUCAGUGCAAAAAUCAGUUAGAACAAACCUGAGCAAUCUCAGUACUCGCCAUUCUCUUAAUUGCUUAUCACCAUCUUGUCCAAAGCACACACUGUAAGGCAUAGCUGCAUGGGCUGUGAUGUAAUUAGAUCUUGUUAGCUAAGCAAGACCAGACCUAAAGCUUAAGCAAAAUAAAUUUGGAUAAACUCCCUGCCCCUUGACCCA
rnacentral:lncRNA from 1 species